AGAAGGAGGUGCUUCAGGAAGGAGGCGGUCACAUGGUGCCGGUCUCUGAGGACAGAAGAGGGGCAAUUAACUCAAAGGUGGUGCCAGGCGUGGAUGACAAGAAGGACACAAAUGCCAUGGAUCCAAAAGAUUUCCGGUCCUACUGCAUAGAAGGCGCCGUGGCGGUCUUGGGCUCCAUGUUGUUUGGGAUGGUUUUCUGUUGUGCAGUCUGUCUGUGGUGGACGAGAAAACGGUCCAAGUGACCCUGCCUGGACAAGAGCAGAGCCCGCAACACGUGUGCCUGGAAAAGCAGCCGCCGGCCAUGGAGCACCGGGGGGAACCAGCUGAUGUCAUCAUUCUGGAUUUCAGUAAAGCUUUCAAUACUGUCUGCCACAGUCUCCUUGCUUCUGAUGCCAUGGGAACCUGAGUAGGUGCUAGGGCAGAAGCAGGCCCCUGGCGUCUCCACCUGCGUCUGAUGUCACAGGUGCCUGAGUAGGUGCUGGGCCUGAGGAAGGCCCCUGGCUUCUGCAGCUGCUUGUGAUGUGUUGGUGUCGUGGUUCAGCCUCAGUUGGCAACUCAACACCACGCAGCCCCUCGCUCACUCCCCCCACCCCUGUGGGAUGGGGAAGGGAAUUGGAAGAGCAAAAGAACUUGUGGGUUGAGAUAAGCACAGUGUCAUAAUUACAAUAAAAUAAUAAUUAUAAUAAUGACAGAAUAAUCAUUAUGAUAAUAUUGACAAUAAUAUAAUAAAAUGGAAGAGGAAAAAAAAAAGGGACAAAACCCCACAGAAACAGAAUAGGAUAGUGAGUAACACCAAAAAAUUAGAUAAUAACAACCCCACAAGUUAUGACAAAACUUGCAAAAGAAAAGCAGGAGCAAACACAUUGGGGUGUAGGUGCUAUAGUGUCGAGUUUAAAAACAUCUGUAGUGUGUAUAGACAUGACAACAAUAGUUAAAUCCAUAAUAACUGUCUAAUCUGUGCUAGAAAUAAUCCCCUGAACCAAAAGAAACCACCUUUAAGAAAAACAAAACAAAGAAAUUCUCCCAAAGGUUAUUAGCAAAUUAAGUUUUCUGAGUUACCCAGACAAAAUACAUCUAAGUAUUUGUUAGUGCUGACUGACCAGUUUUCUGGAUGGCCAGAAGCCUUCUCUUGCUGCACCAACAAAGCCAGAGAAAUAGCUAAGAUAUUGCUGAAAAAAUCAUACCAAGAUUUAGAGUGCCAAUGGGAAUGUCCUCUGAUAGAGGACCACAUUUUUUUGCAGAUGUAGUUCAACAAAUCAGUAAAAUUUUGAGCAUAAAAUGGGACCUGCGUACGCCCUGGAGACCACAAUCAAGUAAGAAAUUUGAGAGGAUGAACCAAACACUAAACUGAUAUAGUGGAAUAUUAUUGAUCUAAGAUGGAAGUAUUGAAAAGAUGAUUACCUCAAAACUUCCAAAGGGGGGAAACGUAACCGGAGCGAUGGAAUUAACCAACCACGGAUGUUGCUCUACUCCUUGCACAGCCCUACCCAACUGGACGCUAAGUCUGGGGACAGGGAGUACACCAAUCAGUGUAGUCUUUGGCCUGUAUUUUAGUCCC